UACGAAGGUGGCAAGCGUUGUUCGGAUUUACUGGGCGUACAGGGAGCGUAGGCGGUUGGAUAAGCCCUCCGUGAAAUCUCCAGGCUUAACCUGGAAAGUGCAGAGGGGACUGUUCAGCUAGAGGAUGGGAGAGGAGCGCGGAAUUCCCGGUGUAGCGGUGAAAUGCGUAGAGAUCGGGAGGAAGGCCGGUGGCGAAGGCGGCGCUCUGGAACAUUUCUGACGCUGAGGCUCGAAAGCGUGGGGAGCAAGCAGG
rnacentral:rRNA from 1 species